UACGUAGGACCCGAGCGUUAUCCGGAUUCACUGGGUGUAAAGGGUGUGUAGGCGGGCGUGCUCGUCCGGGGUGAAAGGUUCCCGCUCAACCGGAAACUUGCCUUGGAUUCGGCACGUCUUGGGUGCGGGAGAGGACGGUGGAAUUCCUGGAGUAGCGGUGAAAUGCGUAGAUAUCAGGAGGAACACCAGUGGCGAAGGCGGCCGUCUGGCCCGCAACCGACGCUGAAACACGAAAGCGUGGGGAGCAAACCGG
rnacentral:rRNA from 1 species